ACAAGGUUUCCGUAGGUGAACCUGCGGAAGGAUCAUUACCUAGAGUUUGUAGACUUCGGUCUGCUACCUCUUACCCAUGUCUUUUGAGUACCUUCGUUUCCUCGGCGGGUCCGCCCGCCGAUUGGACAACAUUCAAACCCUUUGCAGUUGCAAUCAGCGUCUGAAAAAACAUAAUAGUUACAACUUUCAACAACGGAUCUCUUGGUUCUGGCAUCGAUGAAGAACGCAGCGAAAUGCGAUAAGUAGUGUGAAUUGCAGAAUUCAGUGAAUCAUCGAAUCUUUGAACGCACAUUGCGCCCCUUGGUAUUCCAUGGGGCAUGCCUGUUCGAGCGUCAUUUGUACCUUCAAGCUCUGCUUGGUGUUGGGUGUUUGUCUCGCCUCUGCGUGUAGACUCGCCUUAAAACAAUUGGCAGCCGGCGUAUUGAUUUCGGAGCGUAGUACAUCUCGCGCUUUGCACUCAUAACGACGACGUCCAAAAGUACAUUUUUACACUCUUGACCUCGGAUCAGGUAGGGAUACCCGCUGAACUUA
rnacentral:rRNA from 1 species